rnacentral:misc_RNA from 1 species
GAUGAAGAACGCAGCGAAAUGCGAUAAGUAAUGUGAAUUGCAGAAUUCAGUGAAUCAUCGAAUCUUUGAACGCACCUUGCGCUCUUUGGUAUUCCGAAGAGCAUGCCUGUUUGAGUGUCAUGAAAAUAUCAACCUUGACUUGGGUUUUGUGCUCUAGUCUCGGCUUGGAAUUGGGUGCUUGCCGCUUUUACGAGCGGCUCACCUUAAAUGUAUUAGCUUGAUCUGUCUUUGAGACUUGGUUUGACUUGGCGUAAUAAGUAUUUCGCUAAGGACAUUCUUCGGAGUGGCCUCGUUUCUAGGACGCUUGUCCGCUUUCCAAUACAAGUUCCACCUCGUGGACAUGACUUUUUAUUAUCUGGCAUCAAAUCAGGUAGGACUACCCGCUGAACUUAAGCAUAUCAAUAAGCGGAGGA